rnacentral:rRNA from 1 species
CCUACGGGGGGCAGCAGUGGGGAAUUUUGCGCAAUGGGGGAAACCCUGACGCAGCAACGCCGCGUGCGGGACGAAGGCCCUCGGGUCGUAAACCGCUUUCAGCAGGGAAGACCUUACGACGGUACCUGCAGAAGAAGCCCCGGCUAACUACGGGCCAGCAGCCGCGGGAAUACGUAGGGGGCGAGCGUUAUCCGGAUUCAUUGGGCGUAAAGCGCGCGUAGGCGGCCGCCUAAGCGGAACCUCUAACCCCGGGGCUAAACCUCGGGCCGGGUUCCGGACUGGGCGGCUCGAGUGCGGUAGAGGCGGGCGGAAUUCCUGGUGUAGCGGUGGAAUGCGCAGAUAUCAGGAAGAACACCGAUGGCGAAGGCAGCUCUCUGGGCCGUAACUGACGCUGAGGCGCGAAAGCUGGGGGAGCGAACAGGAUUAGAUACCCUUGUAGUC